AAAGUUUUAAAAAAUCUGACAAUACCCGCUACAAUAGUCAUUUACAACAUUAAUUAAUAAUGUCUACGCUGUAUUUCUGAUCAAUUUGAUGUUAUUUUAAUGGACAAAAAAUUUGCUUUUCUUUCAAAAACAAGGACAUUUCUAAGUGACCCCAAUCUUUUGAACAGUGUGUGUAUAUAAACACAAUGUCAGAUGUAUAAUGUAUAGCUCAGUGUUGUAGACGACUACUAGACAUCCACCUUGUUUUUAGGGUAUGGAUAUUUACAGCGAUAACUUCUAGUGAGUUAAGGGUGCUAAGAAGCGUAAUGGCCAUGAUAGUGUGCUAUGGGCUUAGAGAGCUCAUGUGGAAUUGGAAGAUGCAACAUGAGAUCCACUGGCAGCUCACAUAAAGAGAAAUUUGAGUUAUCUAUACUCAACACGAUGACAGACUGAAUCUCAAGUGUGAUUUGUCGGGAGCAUGUUUUUUUCCAGAGGUACAUAAAUAUGCAUAUGUUCCAGACACUUGUACAUAAAAUGCCCGGCGCAGCAGAAAAUGGCAGCAGUGCAGAAAGGCCUCUGCUUGCUCUUUCAGCUUCAAGUGGCAGCGCUCUCUUAAGAUCAAAGGCUUCAGAGGGUAAUUUGGGAAUCAUGUUAACUACAUGCUCUGGGUGCUCUUCAAAGGGCUUGAGCACACUCCAGUUCAGCUGAGGUAUCCACCCUGUAUCACAUGGUGGGAUCUGCCCUGCUUGCGUUCCAGAAGUGUGUGAAAAGAGCGGUGUCUGGAGCUAAAUUUUGGACUCAUUCUGUUGCAGGUGAUGGUGUAUGUGGAACUUAAAGUCAACACCAAUGACUCACAAGCCUCACUACAAUAUGUAGAUAUAUUCACUUUGAUUUCAAGUUUUUUUGUUCAUAAUGUACCAAAAUGUAGAAAGCUAUUCUGUACACCAAAUCCAACUGCAGUUGGACACAGAGUGAAAUUAUAGAGUGAAAAAGUGUAUUUUUGUGUUCAUCUUACAAUAUUUUCAGGGGCCAUGGUUGUUUAUUGAGAUAUAUUCAAGAAGUAAAGCCUCUUUCCAAAACA
ensembl:lncRNA